AAAAAAGGAAGGGUGCAGGGAAGGUACUUCCCGCUGGUUUAAGGAGGGUGCUCAGGCACGAUAGUGCCGUCGAAGGGAAC
rnacentral:ncRNA from 1 species